rnacentral:rRNA from 1 species
AAAUUGAAGAGUUUGAUCAUGGCUCAGAUUGAACGCUGGCGGCAGGCCUAACACAUGCAAGUCGAACGGUAACAGGAAGCAGCUUGCUGCUUCGCUAACGAGUGGCGGACGGGUGAGUAAUGUCUGGGAAACUGCCUGAUGGAGGGGGAUAACUACUGGAAACGGUGGCUAAUACCGCAUAACGUCGCAAGACCAAAGAGGGGGACCUUCGGGCCUCUUGCCAUCAGAUGUGCCCAGAUGGGAUUAGCUAGUUGGUGAGGUAACGGCUCACCAAGGCGACGAUCCCUAGCUGGUCUGAGAGGAUGACCAGCCACACUGGAACUGAGACACGGUCCAGACUCCUACGGGAGGCAGCAGUGGGGAAUAUUGCACAAUGGGCGCAAGCCUGAUGCAGCCAUGCCGCGUGUAUGAAGAAGGCCUUCGGGUUGUAAAGUACUUUCAGCGGGGAGGAAGGUGUUG